rnacentral:pre_miRNA from 1 species
CGUGCACUGGUGGGGUCCCUCAGCCUGGCCUGCACCCUCUCACAAUCUGGGACCCCUCAGGGGAUGUCAGAGAGCCAGUUUCAGCCCAGUCCCCAUAGGCCAGGCUGAGGGACCCCACCGGUGCACA